AUACUUACCUGGCAAGGGAGACACCAUGAUGAUGAAGGUGGUUUCCUGGGGCGAGGCUUUCCUCCAUCACAGUCCAGGUGUGUCUCCCUUGCAAUUUUCCCAAAUGUGGAAAACUGACUGCAUAAUCUGUGGCAGUGGGAGACCACAUUCACACUCUCCCC